rnacentral:tRNA from 2 species
GCCGGGGUGGUGGAAUUGGUAGACACGCUGGAUUCAAAAUCCAGUGCCUUUGCGGGCGUGCCGGUUCGACUCCGGCCCUCGGUACCA